CGUAUUCUCCAUCUCUACGUCAAAAUCAGAUUGCAACCGACUUCAACACAACACUCGUCUUCUACAUCUCGUCUUCUGCCAGGUAAAUCUCUUUCUUACUCUCGAUCUCGCUGUCUCUCACUCUCGUUCUCUUUUCUUUAUCCAUCUCUUAAUUUCUUGAGAAAUCUCGAUUUGGAUCAUGUAAAACAGAAAACAUGAUGGUUUAUACCUGACAGAACUGAUUUAUUUUGUAUUCACAACAACAUCUGUCAAAAUUGACUGUGAUGUUUUAGAUCUAUUUGCUGGAAAGAGACGCACCAUAACACAUACAACCUAUUUUUUCUUUUGAACUAUUUUUUGACAUAUAUGUUUUUUGUUUGAAUCUAUUUUAAAUCUUCUGGUAAGUAAAUAUGUUGAUCCUCACCAUCAUUUAUGAUUUGCAGUUAUAGCUUAAGUACUCCCUAGAUCCUAUGUAUCAUCAAUAUUUCAACAUUGUGGAAGAAAACAUUGGUGUUCUAGGUUGUUGAACAUUCAAAUGUUGCAGGGAUGGGAGUUCAAUGGUUUAUUUGUAUUAAAUUGAAGACAAUUACUUCAUAAUAUUUUCAUGGAGAUUAGAUAUAAUGAUAGAAAGAUAGAUGUUAAAAUGGCAAAUUGUGUUACUUUCAUGUUAUUGAAGACCUAAUACUGAUGAUGGUUUGUUUAAUGCUUUUUGGAUCGUAAUUUUCAUUGAAG
rnacentral:lncRNA from 1 species